GCACGAAUGGCGUAACGACUUCCACACUGUCUCAACCAGGGACUCAGCGAAAUCGAAUUGGCGGUGAUGAUGCCGUCUACCCGCGGCCAGACGGAAAGACCCCGUGAACCUUGACUAUAGUUUGACAGUGGGUUUCGGGCUGAUUUGUGUAGGAUAGGUGGGAGGCGUUGAAGCCGGGUCGCUAGACUCGGUGGAGCCAACCUUGA
rnacentral:rRNA from 1 species